GUUUUGAAAAGGCAUUUCAAAAAGCUCGUCGUCUUUGGCGCAAAUCUUACCAAAAAUUGUCAGUGCUUGCCAAAUCGGUUCAGAAUCCACUUCAGAUGGAGCAUACCUCUUCAGAUAGCUAUCAGCGCUUCCGAAAUAAACUGCCUCUAAGUACUGCCAUAAAAAAUAACCCGAAAAUCAACAGGCUGCAUCCGUUUGAGAUCGAUGUUGUCAGGAGCGGAUCUACAGAUGGGACCAUCAAAAAUAUUUCCUUAAGUCCAAAAAGAGUAGAAGAGUAAAACCUCAACAGCAUUUGCGUCCGCCCCUGCGUAUACGCAUUGCGUAUACGUAAUAUUCCCGUGAACGAAACAAAAAGAAAUACUUGAGACCCAGGCACACACUUCUAACAACAGCUCCAUGCAACGCAACCUUGAAACAGCGAUCAAAUCCGCAGAGCAGCCCAAACAACAACACAUCACCACAUAUUUGUCGGAAAAAAGCAAACAAAUCCGCUUGCAGAUUGCAACACGCAGUGAGGUUGGUUAAGAACAACAGAAAAAGGCGGCGGCAAAAUACAAUAUUUAAAUUAAAUAUUAGCACACCAAAACGGAGCACAUCGCUGCCUGGAAAUGGGCUAAAUGUGAGACGAAUAUGUGGCAAUAGCCAUCCAUCUACAGCCGAGCGGAAAAUGAGAUGUAAAUAAAAAAAAAGAUGAACAAAAA